rnacentral:rRNA from 1 species
CAGAUACAAGACUUGCACGUUGCUCAAAGAGAAGAAGAUAUUGGAUUCUAUGCUGGAUUUCUUGGUGCAUCAUAUAUGGUUGGUAGAGGUUUCGCGUCGAUCUUUUGGGGCAUGGUUGCAGAUCGCAUCGGACGAAAGCCUGUAAUUGUAUUUUCACUUUUCACGGUCAUUGUGUUCAACACUUUAUUCGGAUUAAGUGUGAAAUAUUGGAUGGCUAUCACUACAAGGUUGCUUCUUGGUGCACUAAACGGAUUUCUAGCACCAAUCAAGGCUUACUCCAUUGAAGUUUGCCGGGAUGACGAACAAGCUUUGGGCAUAUCAAUUGUCAAUACAGCAUGGGGAUUAGGCCUUAUAAUUGGCCCAGCAAUCGGGGGCUACCUUGCACAGCCAGCCAAACAAUAUCCACACAUUUUCCAUGACAAGUCAACGUUUGGGAGGUUGCCAUAUCUUCUUCCAUGUCUUUGCAUAUCAAUUUUCGCAACCUUCGCCCUCAUAAGCUGCAUAUGGCUUCCGGAAACACUACACAAGCACAACAAGUUUGAAAUGAGAGCUGAAACGGCUGAAGCUGGCACAACUCAGGAAAGUACAGAGUCACCUAAGAAGAGCUUAUGGAAAAAUUGGCCGUUGAUGUCGUCAAUUAUCACAUAUUGUGUCUUCUCCCUUCAUGACACUGCAUAUAGUGAGAUAUUUUCCCUGUGGACUGUAAGUGGUAGAAAAUAUGGUGGACUUAGCUUUUCAUCUAAGGAUGUCGGUCAAGUUCUUACAGUGGCAGGUGUCAGUCUUCUUGUAUACCAAAUCUUUGUUUAUCGUUGGCUCAAUAAUACGCUAGGACCUGUAAACUCAACCCGCAUCGCAUCUGCCCUGUCUAUACCAAUUAUUGCUGCUUAUCCCUUUAUGACACACUUGUCAGGAAUAAGACUUGGUCUGGCUCUCUAUAUUGCAGCAAUGAUUAAAAGCGUUCUUGCUAUAACUAGAGUUUCCGGCACUUCUCUUCUACAAAACAAUGCUGUGCCCCAAGGGCAAAGAGGUGCUGCGAAUGGAAUAGCCACAACAUUAAUGUCCUUAUUCAAGUCUGUUGCUCCAGCUGGGGCAGGUGUUCUAUUCUCGUGGGCACAGAAGCGCCAGCACGCAGCGUUCUUUCCAGGUGACCAGAUGGUGUUCCUUCUACUGAACGUGACAGAGGUCCUUGGGCUCUUGCUGACCUUCAAGCCUUUCCUGGCAGUCCCCCAACACUACAAGUAA